rnacentral:rRNA from 1 species
AUUACUUCGGUUUGAAGUCUUUUAUGACUGAGUGGCGGACGGGUGAGUAACGCGUGGGUAACCUGCCUCAUACAGGGGGAUAGCAGCUGGAAACGGCUGGUAAUACCGCAUAAGCGCACAGUACCACAUGGUACAGUGUGAAAAACUCCGGUGGUAUGAGAUGGACCCGCGUCUGAUUAGCUUGUUGGCGGGGUAACGGCCCACCAAGGCGACGAUCAGUAGCCGACCUGAGAGGGUGACCGGCCACAUUGGGACUGAGACACGGCCCAUACUCCUACGGGAGGCAGCAGUGGGGAAUAUUGCACAAUGGAGGAAACUCUGAUGCAGCGACGCCGCGUGAGUGAAGAAGUAGUUCGCUAUGUAAAGCUCUAUCAGCAGGGAAGAUAGUGACGGUACCUGACUAAAAAGCUCCGGCUAAAUACGUGCCAGCAGCCGCGGUAAUACGUAUGGAGCAAGCGUUAUCCGGAUUUACUGGGUGUAAAGGGAGUGUAGGUGGCCAGGCAAGUCAAAAGUGAAAGCCCGGGGCUCAACCCCGGGACUGCUUUUGAAACU